AUGGAGGGACAGAAGGCGGAGGAGGUGGAUGUACUGGCUUCAAGCUGUGGUACAUGGGGAUGGCUGCAAACAGAAAUGGUGUUGGCAUCUUUGAUCAACAAGAGCCUCAAGUAUGGAGUGGUAGACGUCAAGAGACGCGGGGACCGGAUUGUCCUGGUCAAGCUGGUAGUUGGGGACUUAGUUCUCAAUGUUAUCAGCGCAUAUGCCCCAGAAGUAGGCCACAAUGAGAACACCAAGAGGGAGUACUUGGAAGGCAUGGAGGACAUGGUUAGGAGUGUACCGAUUGGCGAGAAGCUCUUCAUAGGAGGAGACCUCAAUGGCCACAUGGGUACAUCUAACACAAUGUUUGAAGGGAUGUAUGGGGGCUUUGGCUAUGGCAUCAGGAAUCAAGGAGAAGAUGUCUUAAGCUUUGCUCUAGCCUACGACAUGGUCGUAGCUAACGCCCUUUUAAGAAGAGAGAAUCACAUUUAG
rnacentral:rRNA from 1 species